rnacentral:rRNA from 1 species
AUUGAACGCUGGCGGCAGGCCUAACACAUGCAAGUCGAGCGGAGCGGCGGACGGGUGAGUAAUGCCUAGGAAUCUGCCUGGUAGUGGGGGAUAACGUCCGGAAACGGGCGCUAAUACCGCAUACUAUCAGAUGAGCCUAGUGCGGAUUGGCUAGUUGGUGGGGUAAAGGCCUACCAGGGCGACGAUCCGUAACUGGUCUGAGAGGAUGAUCAGUCAGACUGUAACGGAAACACGGCCAAGACUCCUACGGUAGGCGGCAGUGGGGAAGAGUGGAAAAUGGGCGAAAUCCUGAUCCAGCCAUGCCGCGUGUGUGAAGAAGGUCUUCGGGUUGUAAAGCACUUUCAGUGGGGAGACGUGACCAGCAGAAGAAGCACCGGCUAACUGCGGGCCAGCAGCCGCGGUAAUUC